UUUCGUUUCUUGUGUGAAGCUUUAUUUUUCUUAUUCAUCAAACUUUACAAACAUGAGUGUGAUUUUCAGCAUGGUAUCAGAGCCAUGGCGGCCUGACCUGCGUUUGACUACCUUUCUUCCGCUGCAAUCCUCUUCUAAUUGAUACUUCAAUAUAGGGAAACCCCCAAAUUUUUAUGAUCUAAACCCUAGAAAUUUUCCACAAUUUUAUUUUCAUUUCGUUGGUGUGAAUAUUCAAGCAUAUGGCGUAUUCGACUCAAACCUGCGACACCAUCUCGGUCAAAUUGGACGAGAUUAACUAUCCUACCUGGGCUUUUCAGAUGCAACAUCACCUUCGUGGUCAUGGUUUUAUGAAUUUAUUGAUGGUUCUCAUCUCUGUCCACCACAAUUUCUUGUUGGUGAUGAUGGCUCUCUCAUCAACAACUCUGUUGCUCGAGAAAAAUGGUCGGAACAAGAUGGUUUACUUAUCUUCAUGAUUACUACCACACUUUCUGCAGAUGCUUUAACUCUGGUUAUAGGUUGUCAAACAUCUAUGGAGGAGUUGAGAUGAAUGAUCAAGAUGCUAAAUUUAUGAUUCUGGCUGGUCUUCCAAGUGAGUA